CAACUUCAAUGUAUUAUCCUACUUUUCCAUCAAGUCCUUUCGGGACCUAAGGGCAGCCUCAAUGUUCCUACAACCCUUGGUAUAGCCUCAAUGUAUAGAGGUUGAUACAUUUAUUAGAUUUUGUAAAUGCAUGUUACUAUCAUAUACAAAAAGGUAAAAAAAAAGACAAUUUGCCAUCUAGUCUAAAUGGAGUAUUAGGAAAGGGUAUUCUAAACUUUUCACUUCAAUAAAAAAUUAAAAUAAAUAUACUCACCUCCGAUGAUGUCUCCCUGAGAAUCCCAAUCCCCGCCGUUGCGCUCGUGCCGCAGUUCUCCUCGUAGACCGCACCGCCCUUGUCCUCCCAGACCGUGCUGCCGCCUGUUAAGUCCUAGAAUUCGUCUAGGUGUAGAUCUAGCCGGGUAUACUACUUUCUGUGAUUCGAAUAUGGCAUACGGGUAUGGGGCUAGAGAGAGAGAAGGAUAGAGGGAUGUGUACCUUCGCCUUGGGACGACGACAAGCUUGACGGCACGGCGUGGAUGGAGCUUCCCGUCGCCUCUGCGCAACCCUAGAUAGGAAGGGAUUGUCGGUGGGGAGUUUGGCUAUGCAGUGAACCU
rnacentral:lncRNA from 1 species